CUUCCUUAUCUGUGAAAUGGAGGUUAUUAUGAGCAUGCGUGACACAUGGCGGGUGUUCAAGAAAACCCUUCUGGAUGGGUGUGGUGGCUCACACCUGUAAUCCAAGCACUUUGGGAGGCCAAGGAGGGAGGAUCGCUUGAGGCCAGGAGUUUGAGAUCAGCCUGGGAAACAAGACUCCAUCUCUUUAAAAAUAGGAAAAUUAACAAGGCAUGGUGUUUUGUUAAACCCAUGGUCCCAGCUGUUUGGGAGAUUACUUGAACCUAGGAGUUCAAGCCUGCAGUUAGCCAUGAUUGUGCCAGUGUACUCCUGCCUGGGUGACAUGGGAGACAGAGGUUGUAGUGAGCCGAGACUGUGCUAUUGCACUGCACCCUGGGUGACAAGAGGAGAAGUCCAUCUCAAAACAAACGGAAAUUCUGAGAUUCUUAUCUCGCCCCCACUCACUGCCUGCCAGCCUCAGGGGACCCCUUUCUCUGGCACCCUAAAGCACUUACCACUUUGGAGCCAUUGUGCCAGGCUGGAGUGCAAUGGCACAAUCUUGGCUCACUGCAACCUUUACCUCUUGGGUUCAAGUGAUUCUCCUACUUCAGCCUCCCAAGUGGCUGGGAUUACAGGCGCCCACUAACACGCCCAGCUAAUUUUUUUUGUAUUUUUAGUAGAGACAGAGUUCAUUAUGUUGGCCAGGCUGGUCUCAAAAUGCUGACUUUGUGAUCCACCCGCCUCGGCCUCCUAAAGUGCUGGGAUUAUAGGUGUGAGCCACCAUACCUGGCCAUUCUUACUUUAUAGCACUUAUUGUUGUCAGACAUAGCUUGUUUAUCAGCCUAAUUAUUUACUCUGUCUAUCCUCACUAGUAUCCAGUAGCUGCCAGAUUUAGCCUGGCACAUAGUGGGCAUUGUGUAUGUGUUUGCUGGAUGAACGAGGGGGUGGGUGCGUAGGUGGGUAUGUGGGUGAAUGAGUAACAGCUAAAGAGAUGUGUAGGUGAGGGAGUGGUUGGGAUGUAUUGUUAGCUGGGUUACAUGGAUGGGUUGGAUAAACGGGUAGGUGGGUGAAUGGAUGGGAUGAGAUAAAUGAGUGGGUGGGAUGGAUAGAUGAGUGGGUGGGUGGAUGAGCACCUAGGUGGAUGACGGGAUGGUAAGUAGGUGGGUGGAGGUAUGUAGCCAUAUAGAAGGGGAGAAACAGGACAAGCUUCACACCUGGACUGGCCUAGAUUUGAGUCCCAGGCUAGCUAUGAGGACACAGACAAGUCUUUUAACUUGGCUGCAAGUGAGCUGUGAUUACAUCACUGCAGUCCAGGAUGGGUAAGUGUCUGAGCCACUCUCUCAAAAAUAAAGUAAAUUUUAAAAGACUUUUUAUGUAUGUCUAAAAUAGAGCUAUCAUAUCUAUAUUUUAGAGUGGUUGUGAGGAUUAAGAAAACAAAGGUCUAGAAUUCUACUGGCACAUAGUAGGUACUCAAGAAAGGUUUGGCCUAAAGGUUUUCCCAUACAUAGUGAACUGUAAAUUACCUGGACUCCUACACAGACUGCAGCCUACUCAUGUGUCAAUCACUGAAUUUCAGCCAAUCAAAGGUAGCCAACUGUUUAAACCAUGUUCAAAUAAAGCAAACGCUGAGCUACAACCAAUCUGGCUGUUUCUGACCUCACUUCUGUUUUCUGUCCUCCACCUUCCUUUUUCUGUCCAUAUUCUGGUUCAGCAGCUACAUGAUGUGCAGAUCACUCUUUACUCAAUUAACCUCUGUCAGCCAGGUGCCUUGACCUGUGCCUGUAAUCCCAGCCCUUUGGGAGGCCGAGGCAGGCAGAUCCCCAGAGGUCAGGAGUUCAAGACCAGCCUGGCCAACAUGGCAAAACCCUGUCUCUACUAAAAAUACAAAAAUUAGCCGGGCCUUGUUGUGCACGCCUAUAGUCCCAGCUACUUGGAAGGCUAAAGCAUGAGAAUCUCUUGAACUCAGAAGGCAAAGGUUGCAGUGAGCUGGUAUCGUGCCACUGCACUCCGGCCUGAGGGACAGUGAGAGAUUAUGUCUCAGAAACAGAACAGAAUGAAACAAAAUUUUAGGCACAUUAAGUUAGACAGAUGUUAUGAUUAUUAUUUUUGAGAUGGAGUAUUGCUCUGUCGCCGAGGCCAGAGUGCAGUGGCACAAUCUCUGGUCACUGCAACCUCCACCUCGUGGGUUCAAGCAAUUCUUGUGCCUCAGCCUCCCGAGUGGCUGGGGCUACAGGCGUGCACCACCAGGCCUGGGUAAUUUUUGUAUUUUUAAUAGAGACAGUGUUUGGCCAUGUUGGCCAGGCUGGUCUCGAACUCCUGACCUCAGGUGAUCCACCUGCCUCUGCCUCCCACAGUGCUGGGAUUACAGGUGUGAGCCACCACACCCAGCCCUAAUGUAUCUAAAGGUUUUCUCCAAACAUGACUACCUAUCCAUCUGAUCUUACUUCGGAUUCUUGUGCGCCAUGAACACCGUGGGAUUGGUCUGUGUAUGAGAAGUGUCCUUAGGGUGGCUAGCUGGGAUGGGGGUCAGCCCCAGUGAUCCCCAGGGACUGAGGCCCCUCAGGAUCCUUGCUACCCUGCACCCCUGUAUAGAAGGCACUUAAGCUCGAAGCACCUGAUACCAGUGGCUUGUGGUUCUGCUUCCUAAGAUCCCGCUCAUUAAGAGGGGAGAGUAGCAGGCAGCAGGUCCCUCUGCUUCAGAGGGUGAGCUCAGCUGUCCCAGCUGGAGGGAGCUGAGUGAAAUGGGGACCGCAGGCCUCCUGCUGGCCUCUUGUCCAUGUGUUCUGGCCAACAGCAAGUGAGGCUGUGUGUAUAGACCCAAGCCCUGCGCAUAACCCACCUGUCAAAGCAGAAAUAACUGGGCCUGGCAUGGUGGUUAACAACUAAGGGGAGAGUCUUUCUUUGGAACCAGCCCUGCCCUACUGCAGCACUGUGACAACUCCAGCAAGCUGGCUUGGCCCCUUGAAGACAUCCAUCACGCUGGAAGGCACUUGUUCAUCCCAUGAACUGGCCCUAUGGGGAACUAAUCAUCUUGGCCAACUGGACCGAUUUUGGUGAAUUAUCCCUCAGCAGGGCGCCAUGGGGGGACUUCAGCAGGUGCUCCAUCCAUAAUGGUGCUGGUUGCCCCCUAACUGCCCGAGACACAGCUACAUCAGCCCCAGCCUGUGCCUUUCUGAGUGUGGCACCAUGGUGGACUCACCUCUCAGGUCUAUGCUCGGCCUCCUGCCUGCAAAGGAGUCUCUAGGGUCCUUGGUGCUGGUCCCAGGUUGUUUCUGCAAGGUCAAGAGAGUCCUGUCACACGACAUGGUCCAGAUACUCAGUGAAACCCACUGACCACGUGGCCUUAACUGCUCUGACCAUCCAUUUUCCCUGUUCUGGCUCCUGCCACCUCUCCAGCAACCUCAACACCCCACUCUGAGUUCUUCCAGGAACAUCAUUCAGGCAUUCACUCACUCAUUCAGUUUUUCCAUCAGUGAAUUGAGCACCUGCUGUGAACUUGAUUCACAGGUUGGAAAAGCUGUCAGGAGAAACACUGUAUAAAGUUAUCUCUGUUUCUCCUGACAGCCUUGCUCAAGAAGUUCCUUGUGUCUGGAAUGCUCUUUUCUGGCUUGCUCUUUUUUGCGCUCCCACCUACCCUCAGGUGCCAUCUCUCCCAGGAAGGACACCUCCCCACCACUAUCCCCCAGAUGUGGCCAGUAACUGAAGGCAGAGCUGUAGAAGUUUAACCACAGACCUGUAAGCAAGAAAUAACUGCUAGCGUUGGCUGCUGAGAGCUGGGGGGCUAUUUGUUACACAGCAUCAUUGCAGCAAAAGCUGACCAAUACAAACAGGCAAGUUCUAGCUUCAAGCUUCAGGACUGGGACAUUGUGAAUCAACACUUAGGGUUUUUAGCCAGGGUGGGCCAAUCCUAAGCAGAUGUUCUCAGAAGAGACAAAGUCUGAGCUUGAGGGAGACCUGGGUGAGUCCUUGCUCUGUCAAGCAGGGAUAGUAAAAAGCCUAGUAAUUAAAAAACACAUUGUCUGGAAUUAAGUUGGUUGGGUGCAAAUCCCAGUGCUGCUACUUAAAAGCCAUGUAAUCUGGAACUAGUUCCUUAACUUGUGGGCCUCAGUUUCCUCAUCUGUGAAAUGGAAAUGAUUCUAGUCCCAGCCCCACAGGGCAUCAUGUUGAUUCAGUGAGCUAAUACAUGUGAUGUGCUGCGAGUUGCUACUUUUCAUUGUGGGUGAGCUUGGCUUGGCAACUCUACUUCCAGAACCUUGUCACGUAUCCAGCGGACUCUGUGUUCUUUGGAUUAUUAGAAACUCUAGCUGGCAUGUUGUAGCUUUCUAGGCACCAAAACCUUGUGCUGUCUCCAUAGCAACUGCAAGCAUAGACUCUGGAGUUGGACACACUCAGGUUCAAACCUGGUGACCUUGGGCAACUAAUUUAACGCUCUUUGCUCAUCUGUAAAAUGACAGCAGUAACUUCACAUGCCUCUGAGGGCACUCUGAGAAGCAAAUGAAGUGGUGUAUUUUUUUACAGAAGCACUUAGCAUAGCCCCUGGGUCGUAGAUAGUGUUACUGGCUCUUCCUGGAGAGAGGUGACCUAUUGGAGAGCCAUCCGCUUCUGGGCAUGGGCCUGCAGGGAGGGUGUGACCAGAGCACGCCACUCUUGCCAGUAGGACCCUUUGAGCCUUUUUCCCCAAGGGUGGCAAGAGCCAGGCACGGAGAAUCAGCAAAGCCCACCUAGUACCUCCUUCUCCUCUCCUGGCUGUCUGGCUUGAUCCAGAAGACUCAUGAGGGCCCCCUUCUUGUGCAGAAGCUCCUGGUAGGAUCCCAUCUCUACAAUGGCCCCAUCUGCCAGCACCACGAUCCAAUCAGCCUAGGGCAGGAUGUGGAGUGUGUGGGUCAUGAGAAUCUGUGCCUGGGCAGGGAAAAGGUAGAAGUUAACACACAUGUGGCCACGUUCCAUGGCUCAUGCCUGUAAUCCCAGCACUUUGGGAGGCCAAGGCAGGUGGAUCACUUGAGGCCAGGAGUUCAAGACCAACCAGGUCGACAUGGCUAAGCCCUGUCUCUACUAAAAAUACUAAAAUGAGCUAGGUAUGGUGGCACACACACCUGUAGUCACAGCUACUUGGGAAACUGAGGCACAAGAAUCACUUGAAACUGGGAGGCAGAGGUUGCAGUCAGCUCAAAUUGCACCACUGCAUUCCAUCCUAGGUGAUAGAGCAAGACUCCGUCAAAAAGAAGGAAGGGAGAGAGAAAGAGGGAGGGAGGGGAAGGGAAAGAGGGAGGGAGGGGAAGGGAAAGA